rnacentral:rRNA from 1 species
UUAGGGACUUGCUCCUGAUAUAGCGGCGGACGGGUGAGUAACACGUGGGUAACCUGCCUGUAAGACUGGGAUAACUCCGGGAAACCGGGGCUAAUACCGGAUAACUCAUUUCCUCGCAUGAGGAAAUGUUGAAAGGUGGCUUUUACCUACCACUUACAAAUGGACCCGCGCCGCAUUAGCUAGUUGGUGAGGUAACGGCUCACCAAGGCAACAAUGCGUACCCAACCUGAAAGGGUGAUCGGCCACCCUGGAACUAAAACACGGCCCAAACUCCUACGGAAGGCACCAUUAGGAAAUCUUCCGCAUUGAACAAAAGUCUGACGAACCACCGCCCCGGGAUUGAUGAAGGUUUUCGAAUCGAAAAGCUCUGUUGUUAGGGAAAAACAAGUGCCGUUCGAAUAGGGCGGCACCUUGACGGACCCUAACCAAAAAGCCACGGCUAACUACUUGCCACCAGCCGCGGAAAUACGUAGGUGGCAAGCGUUGUCCGGAAUUAUUGGCCGUAAAGCGCGCGCAGGUGGUUCCUUAAUUCUAAUGUGAAACCCCACGGUUCACCCGUGAAGGGUCAUUGAAAACUGGGAAACUUGAUUGCAAAAAAGAAAAGUGAAAUUCCAAUUGUACCGUUGAAAUGCGUAAAUAUUUGAAGAAACACCAUUGCCAAAGGCAACUUUCUGGCCUGUAACUAACACUAAGGCGCGAAACCUUGGGAAGCAAACAGGAUUAGAUACCCUGGUAGUCCACGCCGUAAACAAUAAGUGCUAAUUGUUAGGGGGUUUCCGCCCCUUAUUGCUGCAGCUAACGCAUUAAGCACUCCGCCUGGGGAGUACGGUCGCAAGACUAAAACUCAAAGGAAUUGACGGGGGCCCGCACAACCGGUGGACCAGGUGGUUAAUUCGAACAACCCGAAAAACCUUACCAGGUCUUGACAUCCUCUGACAACCCUAAAAAUAAGGCUUUCCCCUUCCGGGGACAAAAUGACAGGUGGUGCAUGGUUGUCGUCAGCUCGUGUCCUGAAUGUUGGGUUAAGUCCCCAACGAGCCAACCCUUGAUCUAAUUGCAGCAUUCAGUGGGACUCUAAAAGACUGCCGGUACAAACCGGAAGAAGGGGGGAUAACUCCAAUCCUCAUGCCCUUAAGACUGGGCUACCCCUUGCUAAAUGGACGGUCAAAGGCACCGAACCCCGAGGUUAGCCAUCCCUAAAACCGUUCAAUUCGGAUUGAGGCUGCACUCCCCCAAUGAACUGGAACC